UCUCUCUCUCUCUCUCUCUACUCUCUCUCCAUUCUUCACUUUCAACAGCAUCAAACAAGAAAUCCGAGCUGUACCGUCUUCUUUUUGUCAAUCGAUCGUCUUCAACAGCAUCCAAUGGCAUAGAAAGGAAGCUGAUGUGUCCAUUGAAUUGAUUUCGUUUAUCUGUUGUUAACCCCUGUUCUGGCAAGCUUCUUCUUCUUCUUUGAACUCUGCCCAUGUUUUCUUAUUUUUGACUUCUGAUUCACUCGCAGUAAAGGAUGAAUCAUGCCAAUCAAAACCAAUAAGUGAACUUACACUAGAGAGAUAGGGUUUAUAAAGUUUUUUGCUGUUUAUGAUAGAAAUCCUAUGAGAUUGGAUAAUCUGCUUCUCCUUGGUGCGAUAUAUUAUCAGGUGUUUGCUUAAAUGCCCCCCUUUGCUUAAAUGAUACCGAGUUCACCAUCUCAUACUCUGAGAUCUGUUGAGAAGUCAGUAAGAGAUAUUCGACAUGUAGAAGGAGAUCUGUUGAGAAGUCAGUAAGAGAUAUUCGAUAAUGCAGAAGUUGUGAGGGUUGAUGCUGACAACAUUAAAGAAAGUUUGGAUAAGAGCUUAAAGCAUCUGAAUAUUGAUUACAUCGAUUUAACUACAGUUCAUUGAUUGAGACUGCGCUUAGGCUUUGGAAUUGGAUAUGACAGCCCAUUGAGCCCGUAUAUUAAUUUUGGUAUUGUUUAUGGUUUCUUGAAUCCGGUUAUACAUUUUUUACUAUUUCUU
rnacentral:lncRNA from 1 species